GCGAGAUACAGUGAAAAUAUAGCACGUCGUAAACCUACCUGGCAAGAACAUCCCUGGCCUGAUCCUCAUUACUAUAGGGGUGAUAAUGCAGUGGACGGUUUUUACACGAAUCGCUCACUUGCUGGACAUCAAUGUUCAGUGUCAGGAAUCAAUCAAUAUACAGCUACAUGGAGAGUGGACCUGGGGAAUGUAUUCAACAUCAGUCAUAUCAAUAUCUACUACAGGACUGAUAAUCUGCCAAUUCCAACUGAAAAUGCUGGAAGGAUGGCUGGAUUUUAUUUGUACGUUUCCAACACAACUUCAAAGGAAACAGGCCAUCUCUGUUUUCAUGAAAAUCAAACAAAACAAGGAAUGAUAUUGGAGGACAUAAGCGUCAACUGUUCUGUUUUUGGACGCUACGUCAUCUACUACAAUGAACGUAGACGGAAUGUUAAGUACCCGGAUUUCUACUCAAAGUAUGCUUACAACGAACUGUGUGAAGUGGAGGCUGCAAUGUGUCAAUACACAACGGAGAGAUCGGCCAAAUUACAUGUCCAAAAAAUUGUCAGGAGGGACAAUGUAACAUCAACUCAGAUCAGUGCCUCAAAUGUAUUCCUGGAUAUCAGGGACCACUUUGUGACCAGGGAAAGCAAACGGGUUUGA
rnacentral:sRNA from 1 species